rnacentral:rRNA from 1 species
AUAACGUAGCGAAAGUUACGCUAAUACCGCAUAUUCUGUGAGCAGGAAAGCAGGGGAUCGCAAGACCUUGCGCUCUGGGAGCGGCCGAUGUCGGAUUAGCUAGUUGGUGGGGUAAAGGCCUACCAAGGCGACGAUCCGUAGCGGGUCUGAGAGGAUGAUCCGCCACACUGGGACUGAGACACGGCCCAGACUCCUACGGGAGGCAGCAGUGGGGAAUUUUGGACAAUGGGCGAAAGCCUGAUCCAGCCAUGCCGCGUGAGUGAAGAAGGCCUUCGGGUUGUAAAGCUCUUUCGGUGGGGAAGAAAUUGCAUGGGCUAAUACCCUGUGUAGAUGACGGUACCUGGAGAAGAAGCACCGGCUAACUACGUG